CGCCACUGGGGGACGCAAAGUGUGUCACACCAUGGCAGAGGGGAGCCCCGUCCAACACGGACCCUUACAGAAAGUGACUUGCCCCCAGAGGCAGUGGUAUAGACACCACCUGCCUCCCAGGUGGGGUGACCAGCUCAUCCUGCCUUGUCUGGGACUCUCCUGGUGUUAGCCCUGAAAGCCCCACAUCCCAGGAAAGCCCAGGCCUUGGCAGACCAGGAUGGUCGUCACCCACUUCUAGUCCCGGGUGACAGCUCAGCUCUCGAAGCAAACUGCCACCAACUGCCCCUACAGGGGGCAUCCAGGUGGGUGACCCAGACCCUUCCCCCCCAUCCAGCAGCACGUGGGGACCCGACCCAGAGCCGAGACUGCCCUCCUGACAGCCCUGGUCACGGUGACCCCUCCCAUCCCAUCCUCACAGAAGGGGGACCGAUGCUUCUCUCAGAAUCCAGUCAAAGCUGGCUUGCUGGGCAGAAAGGGACAGUCCCCCAGUCUCUGCCUAUUGCUGGGAUGUUGGCUAUCAUACCUCAGGUGGACAGGUCCCCCUUCUAGGCUCUGGGCUCCCUUACCCUCGUCAAAUCCUCUUCUUGCCAGAGAUCCCUGAGUUCACAGCAUGCCCUCCAGAAGGACCCAAGGAAUGGCCUCAUGGCCCCAACUGACUUCUGCAGCCAAGCGAGGAAAGCCAAAGAGACCAAACCAGCCUGACAUAUUGAAAAGAACCUCAGUCUUGGAUACCACUUUAAAAAAAAAUGAAGAAAGAGAAAAGGAAGCACUCUCAGCUCAUCUUGGGUUGUUUUGCUCAUUUCUUCACUUAAAUUUGUCCUCCUCACUAAGGAUUGGCACCAAGUGAAUAAACAUCUGAUGCCCAGAUCUCCAGGCCUCCAGAGCUUUUGUAGCUGUGACAGGGGUCACGCGACAGUGGGUUUCCUCGUUCAGUUUUCUCUUGGGAAUCAACUUGAAAAGGGUAACCGUUCUGUUUCCAUCUUUAGGCUCCAUAAGGCAACACACUAAGGAAUGGGGGUGUGCAAGGUGGGAGGGGGCAGGAGGGACAAACCAUACUGGGAAGCCUUCUAUAAAG
rnacentral:lncRNA from 1 species